GCUUAACGCGAAGAACCUUACCAGGCCUUGACAUGCAGAGAACUUUCCAGAGAUGGAUUGGUGCCUUCGGGAACUCUGACACAGGUGCUGCAUGGCUGUCGUCAGCUCGUGUCGUGAGAUGUUGGGUUAAGUCCCGUAACGAGCGCAACCCUUGUCCUUAGUUACCAGCACGUUAUGGUGGGCACUCUAAGGAGACUGCCGGUGACAAACCGGAGGAAGGUGGGGAUGGACGUCAAGUCAUCAUGGCCCUUACGGCCUGGGCUACACACGUGCUACAAUGGUCGGUACAGAGGGUUGCCAAGCCGCGAGGUGGAGCUAAUCUCACAAAACCGAUCGUAGUCCGGAUCGCAGUCUGCAACUCGACUGCGUGAAGUCGGAAUCGCUAGUAAUCGCGAAUCAGAAUGUCGCGGUGAAUACGUU
rnacentral:rRNA from 1 species